UUGACGGGGACCCGCACAAGCGGUGGAUGAUGUGGAUUAAUUCGAUGCAACGCGAAAAACCUUACCUACCCUUGACAUGUCCAGAAGCCUGAAGAGAUUUGGGUGUGCCCGAAAGGGAACUGGAACACAGGUGCUGCAUGGCUGUCGUCAGCUCGUGUCGUGAGAUGUUGGGUUAAGUCCCGCAACGAGCGCAACCCUUGUCGUUAAUUGCCAUCAUUUAGUUGGGCACUUUAACGAGACUGCCGGUGACAAACCGGAGGAAGGUGGGGAUGACGUCAAGUCCUCAUGGCCCUUAUGGGUAGGGCUUCACACGUCAUACAAUGGUCGGUACAGAGGGUUGCCAAGCCGCGAGGUGGAGCCAAUCCCAGAAAGCCGAUCGUAGUCCGGAUCGCAGGCUGCAACUCGCCUGCGUGAAGUCGGAAUCGCUAGUAAUCGCGGAUCAGCAUGUCGCGGUGAAUACGUUCCCGGGUCUUGUACACACC
rnacentral:rRNA from 1 species